UCUCUCUCUCUGUUCUUUCUCUAGCUCGCUUCACCACUUUGUUUUAUCAUUAGCAACACUCCACAUAGCACUCUAGGAUACUGUAGCAGUGGCUGUUAUAUCAACAAAAGACACUCUUGCCUGCUUUUUGUUCAGCUUUAAUUUGUACUAAUAGUUAAACUUUUUUUUUGUUAUCUGCUCCGUCCAAUCAACUUCAACACAUUUACAAUGAAUUUUUCCCCAAAACAAACUCUUUUUACUUAGUUGAUUCAAUAUUAAGAAGUAUGAAAGUAAAUAAUGAAUUUGACGCUGUAUUGUAAUUUACCAUUGACAUAUUCAUAUAAUUUAUGACUUUUCCAGCAAGAUGGGGAGUUCCUUUAAAAGUUGGUUCAUGGGAGUACGCUCCAGCUCUUCUGCCCCUCCACCCUCUCCUUUUUUCAGUGAACCUUGGAGGACAAUAAGCUGGGCAGACAAAAGUGAUCUGCAGUAUUUAAAGGACUAUAAACCUCAGACUGACGGCGCAGC